AUUGAACGCUGGCGGCAGGCCUAACACAUGCAAGUCGAACGAGUGGCGGACGUGUGAGUAAUGUCUGUGAAACUGCCUGAUGGAGUGGGAUAACUACUGGAAACGGUAGCUAUUACCGCAUCCCAUCGGAUGUGCCCAGAUGGGAUUAGCUAGUAGGUGGGUUAAAGGCUCACCUAGGCGACGAUCCCUAGCUGGUCUGAUAGGAUGACCAGCGACACGGGAACUGAGACACGGGCCAGAGUCCUACGGGAGGCAGCAGUGGGGAAUAUUGCACAAUGGGCGCAAGCCUGAUGCAGCCAUGCAGCGUGUAUGAAGAAGGCCUUCGGGUUGUAAAGUACUUGAAGCGGGGAGGCGUUACCCGGAGAAGAAGCACCGGCUAACUCCGUGCCAGCAGCCGCGGUAAUAC
rnacentral:rRNA from 1 species